GACGAACGCUGGCGGCGUGCUUAACACAUGCAAGUCGAACGGUAAGGCUCCAGCUUGCUGGGGUACACGAGUGGCGAACGGGUGAGUAACACGUGGGUGACCUGCCCUGCACUUCGGGAUAAGCCUGGGAAACUGGGUCUAAUACCGGAUAGGACCGCACCGUGAGGGUGUGGUGGAAAGUUUUUUCGGUGUGGGAUGGGCCCGCGGCCUAUCAGCUUGUUGGUGGGGUAAUGGCCUACCAAGGCGGCGACGGGUAGCCGGCCUGAGAGGGUGGACGGCCACAUUGGGACUGAGACACGGCCCAGACUCCUACGGGAGGCAGCAGUGGGGAAUAUUGCACAAUGGGCGGAAGCCUGAUGCAGCGACGCCGCGUGGGGGAUGACGGCCUUCGGGUUGUAAACUCCUUUCACCAUCGACGAAGGGUUUCUGACGGUAGAUGGAGAAGAAGCACCGGCUAGCUACGUGCCAGCAGCCGCGGUAAUACGUAUGGUGCGAGCGUUGUCCGGAAUUACUGGGCGUAAAGAGCUCGUAGGUGGUUUGUCGCGUCGUCCCGUGAAAUUCCGGGGCUUAACUCCGGGCGUGCAGGCGAAACGGGCAUAACUUGAGUACUGUAGGGGGAGACUGGAAUUUCCUGGUGUAGCGGGAAAAUGCGCAAAUAUCAGGAGGAACACCGGUGGCGAAGGCGGGUCUCUGGGCAGUAACUGACGCGAGGAGCGAAAGCAUGGGGAGCGAACAGGAUUAGAUACCCUGGUAGUCCAUCCCGUAAACGGUGGGCGCUAGGUGUGGGUUUCCUUCCACGGGAUCCGUGCCGUAGCUAACGCAUUAAGCGCCCCGCCGGGGGAGUACGGCCGCAAGGCUAAAACUCAAAGGAAUUGACGGGGGCCCGCACAAGCGGCGGAGCAUGUGGAUUAAUUCGAUGCAACGCGAAGAACCUUACCUGGGCUUGACAUAUACAGGAUCGCGCCAGAGAUGGUGUUUCCCUUGUGGCUUGUAUACAGGUGGUGCAUGGUUGUCGUCAGCUCGUGUCGUGAGAUGUUGGGUUAAGUCCCGCAACGAGCGCAACCCUUGUCUUAUGUUGCCAGCACGUUGUGGUGGGGACUCGUAAGAAACUGCCGGGGUUAACUCGGAGGAAGGUGGGGAUGACGUCAAAUCAUCAUGCCCCUUAUGUCCAGGGCUUCACACAUGCUACAAUGGUCGGUACAGUGGGUUGCCAGUCCGUGAGGGCGAGCUAAUCCCGCAAAGCCGGUCUCAGUUCGGAUCGGGGUCUGCAACUCGACCCCGUGAAGUCGGAGUCGCUAGUAAUCGCAGAUCAGCAACGCUGCGGUGAAUACGUUCCCGGGCCU
rnacentral:rRNA from 1 species